GUGAGGCUGAGAUUUAAUCAAGCUGAUAUUUUUAAUUACCAUAUUAACUGUUCGAAAAUACAUUUUAAUUGUCAUUAGGGUAUUUGGGUGAAAAUUGCAACAUAGUAAAAACGGUAGGUUCAAUAUUUACUCCUAUCUAACCGCGUCUCCUCUCCAACGAAAGAUUUGAAUAGCCGGCCACGAUUCCUUUUCGUCUCCCACGAUCCAAAAUCGGUUUGAAGAAUCGCCGGCGACUUGUUCGAAAAGGGGCAGGGCAUCGCUACGAUAUAAGUAGAUAUAGACGACACAGGCGAUUGCCAAUUAUUCGGUCACUCGAGGACGCGCAUCGCUACGAUCGACGGCACUGCUCUGCUCUCCCCGCCAUCUCUCUCGCUCACUCUUUUUCGUUGCUUCUGGCGCAGCGAGGCGCUUCCUCUCUGAUUCGGUGGUGGAGAUGGCAGAUUCGGCUCUAAUUUGUUGAAGAAAUUUAGAAACGCAAAAUAUUAUUUUUCAUUGUUUUUGGGUUAUUUUGUGGCACAUGGAUCUUGAGACAGUGGAAUAUAAUUUGAAAGAAGGGUGGUACAGAGGGUGGGUCCGGCAGCAAGUUCUACCGCGAUCUCUUGCUGCUCAUGAACAACGCCCUUGCGUUCUUCAGUAAGAACUCCUCGGAGGCCAGCACGGCCGUGGAGAUUCGGCGUCUCAUCUCCAAAGAGAUCUCUCAUAAAUAUGCCAAGUCGGAUUCUUCGUCUGGGAAUUAAAUCUCUUUGCAGUCUCUGUCUAAUCUGCACUUUUAUUUUUCUUUUUGUCAAAUAAAUGAUCAAUUUUGGAAUUUGGGGGAUAUUCACGUGUCCAUUAAAUCUGAAUAUAUUUGUUCAUUUAGAAAUUGUGUUCUGUUCAUUUAGAAAUUAGGUUCUGUUCAUUUAUGUUCAUGCGUCCAGUAAAUCUAAAUAAGAAAUCUGAAUAUAUCUGUUCAUUUAGAAAUUGUGUUCUGUUCAUUUAGAAAUUGGGUUAUGUUCAUUUA